UACAGAGGGGGCAAGCGUUAUUCGGAAUUAUUGGGCGUAAAGGGCGCGUAGGCGGCUUUGCAAGUGACGGGUGAAAUCCCACGGCUUAACCGUGGAACUGCCUGUCAGACUGCAUGGCUUGAGACCAGGAGAGGUGAGUGGAAUUCCCAGUGUAGCGGUGAAAUGCGUAGAUAUUGGGAGGAACACCAGUGGCGAAGGCGGCUCACUGGACUGGUACUGACGCUGAGGCGCGAAAGUGUGGGGAGCAAACAGG
rnacentral:rRNA from 1 species